rnacentral:rRNA from 1 species
ACGGAAUAGAUACCCCGGUAGUCCACGCCCUAAACGAUGUCUACUAGUUGUUGGUGGAGUAAAAUCCAUGAGUAAACGCAGCUAAACGCGUGAAGUAGACCGCCUGGGGAGUACGGUCGCAAGAUUAAAACUCAAAUGAAUUGACGGGGGCCCGCACAAGCGGUGGAUUAUGUGGAUUAAAUUCGAUGCAACGCGAAAAACCUUACCUGGCCUUGACAUGUAACGAACUUUCCAGAGAUGGAUUGGUGCUCGAAAGAGAACGUUAACACAGGUGCUGCAUGGCUGUCGUCAGCUCGUGUCGUGAGAUGUUGGGUUAAGUCCCGCAACGAGCGCAACCCUUGCCAUUAAUUGCCAUCAUUUAGUUGGGCACUUUAAUGGGACUGCCGGUGACAAACCGGAGGAAGGUGGGGAUGACGUCAAGUCCUCAUGGCCCUUAUGGCCAGGGCUUCACACGUAAUACAAUGGUCGGUACAGAGGGUUGCCAAACCCGCGAGGGGAGCCAAUCCCAGAAAGCCGAUCGUAGUCCGGAUUGUAGUCUGCAACUCGACUAC